rnacentral:lncRNA from 1 species
AUCUUAGGUUAACACUUUUAUGCGUAAAAUUAAUUAAUGAUUACCGUCGUUUACAACUGAUGUCGUGUGGUGCUACAUUCCCACGCAUAACUGACUCAUGAAAAUGAAUUUUGUUGUGAUGACGAUAUUUUUACUCAUUAGAAUUUUAUCGAUAUUUUUCCUUUUAAAAAAAUAAAUUUCAAUGACGACUUCAUUGCUUUCGGACAAUUUCCCGCCCCAGCGUUUUUUUCACCGCAAC